ensembl:lncRNA
UUUUUUUUCUUCUUUUUUUUCUUGCAGAUUGUACAAUAAGAAAAAAAUGUAUAGCAACAAAAACAACAGCGCUGCAUGCUUUUGACAACAGUGUCACAUUCAAGAACAGUGUGUGUUUUCUGUGCUGGCUCUGUGUGUGUGUGUGUGUGUGUGUGUGUGUGUGUGUGUGUGUGAGGUGGGGGGAGGCAGGCCGUGCAGUUUAAAGGGAAAAUACGAGGCACACACACAAAGCUGGGAGCGCAGGCAGGCAAGGCAGCAGGAAAGGAAAAGAAAGGUGGCGUGAAUCUGCUGAGCCGACAAACCUCUUUGGAAUUUUACUCCACCGAGCCGACCCUGCGUCCCCCUCUCGGCUCAACCGGAGCGCAGCCACGGUAAGACAAGCUACCCAUUCACAAGCUCUCAGCUGUUUUCACCGCUACCCAUCUGCAGACAAAAGCAAGAGAAAGUUGCUGUGUGUGUGUGUGUGUGUGUGUGUGCAUGUAGAAGAGCUAAGCUAAAUGCUGGAGCUAAGGCUAAAAAGGCGUGAGGAAUGCAGCACAAAGGAAGCUUGUGUGCUCCAGCUGGGGCUGUGUGUGUGUGUGUGUGUGUGUGUGUGUGUGUGUGUGUGUGUGUGUGUCUUUUGCGGACAGGUUUGAAUGUUUUUGUCACAAAACUUCCCAAACUUUUGCAUGCAAAGGAUGCCCCAAAAUAGACAAGCACAGACCACAGAGGGGCUUUUUGGUAAGAGAUCGAACAAGAAGGCUUGAGGUGGAGAGUGUGGACGCUCCUAUCAACAGUGUCCAUUACUUGGUGACUGUUCCUGCUUUACAUGAAGGCAAAGAUUAAUAAAAGCAGGUGAUUGUAAUUUACUAGUAAACCAAAGGGAAGUCUGCUUGAAUGUCCCAACGGUUCGUGUCAGGGCCGGGACAUUUAAAUUUUAAAUGCCCCCGGCGGCUCGGCAGCCAGCCGGCCCACCAGCGCGGAAAACAAAAUGCAAAAGUAGUUCAUAUUUACUCCUCUGUCUCUUUGUCUCCUUUUACGUUAUGGCUUUAUAGUCCUGCACCCUACACUAACGUGUCCUUUCUUGCUCUUCCUCCUUUACUCCCCGAUCUCUGCUGAUGUAAACGCGAGCAGGCACAAAAGGUCUCUUUCCUCUUCUCGUCUCCUUUUUCUCACUCUUCUUUAUCUCUCCUUUUUAUCUCUCUAUUGGGAAAUACAGAGGUGACUGUAUUGAACAUGGGUCUUGUGACUUUGCUGCCUAAGCUUUAAUCUGUGAUGGCCUAUCUCUUCUGCGCACACACAGACACACACUACACUAUUAGCUUCUUAUAGUUAAACACUU